CCGAAGAUAAGGACGGUAGCAGGUAAAGAAACCCCGGCUAAGUCCGAGCCAGCAGCCGCGGUAAUACGGAGGGGGUGAGCGUUAUUCGGAAUUACUGGGAGUAAAGCGCACGUAGGCGGAUUGGAAAGUGGGGGGUGAAAUCCCAGGGCUCAACCUGGGAAGUGCAUUCCAAACUAUCAGUCUAGAGUUCGAGAGAGGUGAGUGGAAUUUCGAGUGUAGAGGUGAAAUUCGUAGAUAUUGGGAGGACCACCAGUGGCGAAGGCGG
rnacentral:rRNA from 1 species